UACGUAGGGGGCGAGCGUUAUCCGGAUUCACUGGGUGUAAAGGGAGCGUAGACGGCCAAGCAAGCCAGGGGUGAAAGCCCGGGGCCCAACCCCGGGACUGCCCUUGGAACUGCAUGGCUGGAGUGCGGGAGGGGCAGGCGGAAUUCCUGGUGUAGCGGUGAAAUGCGUAGAUAUCAGGAGGAACACCGGCGGCGAAGGCGGCCUGCUGGACCGCGACUGACGUUGAGGCUCGAAAGCGUGGGGAGCAAACAGG
rnacentral:rRNA from 1 species